UUUAAAAAGCAAAGUUAGAACCCACUGGUUUCAGACCCAUCUGCCUCCCUUUUCUCUAGAAACAACCCUAGAAUGUUCCAGAAGGUUUAAUGAGGAUGCAUUUCUGCACUGUUUCCUCUCCCUCCAGAUAGAUACAGCAUAUUUAACCAAUCUAGUUUACAGAGGAAAUUCAGGUUUUUUUUUCCUAGCUCGCUUUAUCCAACUGUAACUUAGGGAUCAUAAAUAUGUUUAUGUCUCGUGGGGAACAUUUCUCUUGUGCUGCAUUUUGAAGAUGCUGUCCAGAUGUGAGAGGGUUUUAUCCUUCCCACCUCUGAGACUCCCUUUGAGCAAGAACAUCGCAGUGGAACGUGGCGGGGAGACUGACUAUAUUUGGGGCUGGAUAGACUGUCUAAGUCGGUGACGGGAAGAAUUGGAUGGCAUCACUCUGCCCAGGGACUGUGCCUUUAACAGCAUCACCCAAAUGCUUUCGAAGUUAGAUACUAUCAACACACAUCUCACUGCCUGUUCAGGGGGAGAAUUACAGGUGGUCAGCCUGUAACGUGAUGAGUGAAGACAAAUUCGAAGAUAAAGGAUUGUGAACUUGAGACGUGGCUUCGGUUUCUCAGUCACCCCCUCAGCAUGCUUGUCUCAAACGAAGCAGUGUCAAGAUGUGUGAAUAAAGUGAAUGGCCAAUUCCACAGAGUGUGUAUGGCAGCCCAUCUGCUGUCAAUAGCUCUUGCACAGAGGAAGGGGACUCAGAAGACCGGCUUGAUCUUGUGUGGGGCCAGCCGUGGGCAAGGUGAGCCCAGCUGUUGUGAGAUGAAGUUUGCAGAACCACAUUAGGUCCACAGACCUGUCACUGAGGAGGCACUGAGAAAAAAACACUGGCUGAAUGGAUCUGCACAAUUCAGAUAUAAAGAAAUGCCCACGUCUGCGAAGAACCAGAAAGAGGCAGCUCUAUGGAGCAAUGAAGCGCCAGCCGCUAGUAGAAAUUUAACUGGUUCUCACCCUGGUGAAGAUGCUGGGGGAGGCCAUCCUCCUCCAUGGCUAGUAGCAAUGUGAAUCGUCACCAGGUUUACGGACAAUGAUGCAGCAAGCUCAGGUGAAUUUAGCCAUCAAGGUGGCCCACCUACUGAGAUUAAAAGGUACUUGUACUUUUCAACCCAGGAGGGUAUGCCCACAAAUUUCUUCAAAAACUGAAGUACGCACAUGAAGAUUUAGAUUUACAAGGGUGUUCACUGAGUAUUGUCAGUAAAGGUAAAAAGAAAGUAAAUAAAUGGGAGCUUGCAAAAAGAGCCCCAGGGAGACUGACAGUGGGAUAAUUAGGAGCACUUCCCAGGAUGCACAGUUAGACAUUUGACACAGCAGGCAGAGCCAGCAUUAUCCACAAAGAAUUGAGUGAGAAGAAAGAAGAGCAGAGAAAUCUGUAUAAAAAGACCCAAACUUAGAAAAUAGACAUGGAACAAUAAAAUUCUGUGUCUGUGUGAGAGUGAGUGUACAUGGGAACUGUGUGUGAGUGAAUAUGCACUUGUGCAGGUGUG
rnacentral:sRNA from 1 species